UUUAGCCUUAGGAGGUGGGCCUCCUGUAUUCAGUCAGAGUUACCGUAUGUGGCAAGGUUAAGCAUCUACGAUGUGGAGCCGAAGCGAAAGCGAGUGUUAAUAGCGCGUUUAGUCGCCUGCGGUGGACCCGAAACCUGGUGAGCUACCCAUGAGCAGGAUGAAGCUUCUUUAAACGGAAGUGGAAGACCGAACCAUUGCGUGUUGAAAAACGCUUGGAUGACUUGUGGGUUGGAGUGAAAGGCUAACCAAACCAGGUGAUAGCUGGUUCUCCCCGAAAUACCUUGAGGGAUAGCCUCGAUGAAUGCAAUUCACGGAGGUAGAGCACUGAUUACUUGAUGGUCCCUCCCGGGAUACUGAGAGUUGUCAAACUCCGAAUACCGUGAACGUCACAUCGGCAGUCAGACUGCGGGGGAUAAGCUCCGUAGUCGAGAGGGAAACAGCCCAGACCGCCAGCUAAGGCCCCUAAAUGAUAGUUAAGUGGAGAAGGAUGUCAGAUUGCGAAGACAGCCAGGAUGUUGGCUUAGAAGCAGCCACCAUUUAAACAAAGCGUAAUAGCUGACUGGUCGAGUGGUUUGGCGCCGAAAAUGAUCGGGGCUUAAACUAUCUGCCGAAGCUGCGGGUUCUGAUGUAUUCGAGCAGUAGGGGAGCGUUGUGUACCGGGUUGAAGGGAACGGGGAACCGAACCUGGACUGUACACAAGUGAUUAUGCAGACAUGAGUAACGAUAAGACAGGUGAGAAUCCUGUCCGCCGAAAUCCUAAGGUUUCCUGGGGAAGGUUCGUCCGCCCAGGGUUAGUCGGCCCCUAAGGCAAGGCUGAAAAGCGUAGUCGAUGGGAAACGGGUUUAAUAUUCCCGUACCGCUGUAUGUGAGUGAUGGAGGGACGCAGGAGGUUAGGUCAGCCACCGAUUGGAAAUGGUGGUCUAAGCAUGUAGGGUAUUCCGUAGGUAAAUCCGCGGAUGUUUGCCUGAGAUGUGAUGGGACGUGGAGUCUUCGGACGAAGCGGAUUGGCCGAUACUAUGCUGCCGAGAAAAGCUUCUAGCGAGGUGAACAGAUGACCGUACCAAAACCGACACAGGUAGGAGGGUAGAGUAUACCAAGGCGCGCGAGAGAAAGACUGUUAAGGAACUCGGCAAAUUAACCCCGUAUCUUCGGAAGAAGGGGUCCUCAGCUGAGUGAGUAAUUUACUUACAAAGCUCAAUUGAGGCGCAGUGAAGAGGCGAAGGCGACUGUUUAUCAAAAACAUAGCACUAUGCGAACGCGCAAGAGGAAGUAUAUGGUGUGACACGUGACCAAUGCCAAAAGGUUAAGGCAAGGGGUUAGCUCUUGAAGCGAAGCUCUGAACCGAAGCCCUGGUGAAUGUCGGCCGUAACUAUAACGGUCCUAAGGUAGCGAAAUUCCUUGUCGGGUAAGUUCCGACCUGCACGAAUCGUGUAACGAUCUUCGCACUGUCUCAACAACCAUCUCGGUGAAGUUGUAGUUCCGGUGAAAAUGCCGGAUACCCGCGGCAGGACGGAAAGACCCCGUGCACCUUUACUAUGAUCUGACAUUGGAUUUUGGUAUUUCGUAUGUAGGAUAGCUGGGAGGCUUUGAAGCAUCUUCGUCAGGAUGUGUGGAGCCAUUAGUGAAAUACCAGUUUCGGUAUAUUGGAAUUCUAACCGCGAUCCCUUGAAUCAGGGCGUGGAACAGUGUCUGAGAGUUAGUUUGACUGGGGCGGUUUCCUCCUAAAGAGUAACGGAGGAGUACAAAGGUACCCUCAGCAUGGUCAGCAAUCAUGCGAAGAGCGUAUAGGUAUAAGGGUGCUUGACUGCGAGACCUACAAGUCGAGCAGGUGCGAAAGCAGGUCUAAGUGAUCCGGUGGUAGCUAGUGGUAGCGCCAUCGCUUAACGGAUAAAAGGUACGCCGGGGAUAACAGGCUGAUGAUUGCCAAGAGUCCACAUCGACGCAAUCGUUUGGCACCUCGAUGUCGGCUCAUCGCAUCCUGGGGCUGGAGAAGGUCCCAAGGGUUUGGCUGUUCGCCAAUUAAAGCGGUACGCGAGCUGGGUUCAGAACGUCGUGAGACAGUUUGGUCCUUAUCCGCCGUGGGCGCAGGAAGUUUGAAGAGAUUAAUCCUUAGUACGAGAGGACCAGGAUUAACAUGCCGCUGGUGUGCCAGUUGUUCCGCCAGGAGCAUCGCUGGGUAGCUACGCACGGAAAGGAUAAGCGCUGAAGGCAUCUAAGUGCCAAGCCCCCUCUGAGAUAAGACUUCCCUUUGGCCUUCGGGCCAUCUUAAGGCUCGUUCAAGACUAGGACGUUGAUAGGCUGGGCGUGAAAGUACAGUGAUGUAUGAAGCUAACCAGUACUAAUUAGUCGUGAGGCUUGAUCAU
rnacentral:rRNA from 1 species